GUGUCUGUUUUCGUCGGACGAUAUCGUUCUUGUCUUUUCGAGCUCCAGCUCAGUUGACCUGUUAACAGAUGAGAGUUGAGAUGAUCACGUCUACAUGGACCUGAUUGCUCGAACCGAAUUUUACGUGCCGCAAACCAUCGAAAAUGGUUGGCAGCAGCACCAUGCAUGUACUGCCCCAAUACCCUGAAACGGGGCAAUGCCAUUUGCGUGGUCUAACAAGAUGAUGCCGGAAUUCUAAUAAAAAAUUGAUGUCGGGACAGCCAUGAUGCCGACAACACCUGGUACCGUGGUACGUACUCAUCAGGAACAAUAUCCGGCAUGGCAGUAGAGCUCAACGUGGAUUCUAUGCAUCUUCUGCAGUUGUGCUUUCUCCAGACAACCGCUAUCCCUAGCAGAUGCUUGAGUUCGUUUCGACCCAAACUCCGUCGAUCCAAAAGGAUUGGCAGGGAUUGUGUAGUUUAUUUUCCCCUUAAUCUCUCUCAAAUCUCGCCGAUCCAGAUCCAAGAUGGGGGCAAAUUUUGCGCGAUCUGAAGGAUUGGAAAAGACUACUGCCUGGGAAUGCCCAGGUGCAGAUGAACACACACGUCGGCUGGAUUGUGCAAGAUUUACGAAGUUCUUUGCUGUUGACGAUGAAGAUGGAGCAUCCGGCUGGACGGCUGGUAUAGGCUAGUGAAGAUGGAGGAGAUCAAGCCCACUUGGUUCUCUGUGUGCCUGGAGAUCCCUGAGGCGCUGAGCAGGAUUCCUGUUCUGAACUGCCCGUCUAAUCGCCUGGAAGAGAAUUAGGGGGAUAAAAGCCCAGUAGUUUUGUUUCUUUUUGACCCCUUCUUGGACCUGGCAUCGGUGGAUACAUGUUGGUUAGGUUUCAAUUUUCACUAAAAUUUAGCCGGGUAAAGGUCCCUGAUUAUCUAAAAACUGGUUUGGUUUUCUUGCAUGGAUACUAGUUGUACUAUUUGCCAGUAAUUUUUUGAAAAUAAAAAUAUUAUUGAUUUCAAAGUCAUAUCGAGCGACACAACCAAAAAGUAUCACACCUCCGGCUCUGCGCUGAAACGAGCACAAGCACAUAAGUACGGAACAAAAUCUAUUAUAUACUAAAAGUACAUGACGGAGCAACCACAAAAAAGAUAGAUCCCGAGAAAAUCACGCAAGAAAGCAAAAUUUCUGACCUUUGAUUUUAGGUAACCUCUGUUAAUCAAUGGAUGAGAUCUAAUUGACAAGAGAAAACCCACCCUCCCGCAGGUCUCUGCACGUGCCUUACGGCUGCCGUCGAUCCAUACCUUAAUAUCCGGAUCGCUCCACCCUUCCUCUCCUCCCGAUUCCUCACCCGUCCGUUCUUCUCUCUGCGAGCCCCCAUUGCUUUCUAGGUCUAGCCGCCGUAGCUAAGGACAGACAAUCUGCUCCAAGUAUGGAGCAUGGCUGUAGAU
rnacentral:lncRNA from 1 species